GCUGGAGGGGAGCUUGAGAAAAAUCUGUGUGUGGGUGCAGCAAGGCAUUCAUGUUCUAGGGUGGUGGGGGGUACACACACACAUGCACAUAGACUCGCAUGCACCCACGCACACACACUUCCACUCUAAGCAACGGGCCAAGUAUACUGCAGUCAUAUCGUCUUCAGUCUUUACACAGGCAAUGUUUUAAGCCUCACCUAACUGAAGCAUCAGCUGAAUUUCUGUCAACAUGAGGACACUGGCUGCUCUUCUGGCUCAGGUGCUGGUCAUCCCAGUUAGUGCUCAGUAUGGUCCCACUACACACACAUGCUGUGAAAGACACUACCUUCAGGCACUUCCAGCAGUGGAUGCCGCCUCAAAGCUCAUGUGUUUAAAACAGUGGCAAAAAAGGUGUUCUGUGUGAACCCAGACCUGCCCUGGGUAAAGAAGAUUGUCACCAAGCUGGACA
ensembl:lncRNA